AAUUCCGCCGUCCGCUGACCGGCUGAGGAAAGUCCGGACUGCAUGGAGCAGGGAGUCCCUUUGAAAAGAGGGAUGCCGCGGACCAUAAGCCGCGGAAAGACAAGUGCAACAGAAAGUAUACCGCCGUCUCCGCAAUCCGGGGAAGGUAAGGGUGAAAAGGCGGGGUAAGAGCCCGCCGGACGGGUUCAGCGUAAGCGCCGUUGUCGAGGUAAACUCCUCCCGCAGCAAGACCAAAUAGAGAGUGAGCCGCAGCUCCACGGCGUUAUGAACUCCGGGUUCUGGUCGCAAAGACAGAUGAUUGCCCACGCGUUUUUCCGCGGGACAGAAUCCGGCUUACAGC
rnacentral:RNase_P_RNA from 1 species